AACCCUUGUCGUUAGUUACCAGCAAGUCAUGGUGGCACUCUAAGGAGACUGCCGGUGACAAACCGGAGGAAGGUGGGGAUGAUGUCAAGUCAUCAUGGCCCUUACGGCCUGGGCUACACACGUGCUACAAUGGUCGGUACAGAGGGUUGCCAAGCCGCGAGGUGGAGCUAAUCCC
rnacentral:rRNA from 1 species